rnacentral:rRNA from 1 species
GACGAACGCUGGCGGCGUGCCUAAUACAUGCAAGUCGAGCGGACUAAUGGGAGCUUGCUCCCGUUAGUUAGCGGCGGACGGGUGAGUAACACGUGGGCAACCUACCUGUAAGACUGGGAUAACUUCGGGAAACCGGAGCUAAUACCGGAUGACAUAAAGGAACUCCUGUUCCUUUAUUGAAAGAUGGCUUCGGCUAUCACUUACAGAUGGGCCCGCGGCGCAUUAGCUAGUUGGUGAGGUAACGGCUCACCAAGGCGACGAUGCGUAGCCGACCUGAGAGGGUGAGCGGCCACACUGGGACUGAGACACGGCCCAGACUCCUACGGGAGGCAGCAGUAGGGAAUCUUCCGCAAUGGACGAAAGUCUGACGGAGCAACGCCGCGUGAGCGAUGAAGGCCUUCGGGUCGUAAAGCUCUGUUGUUAGGGAAGAAUAAGUGCUAGUUGAAUAAGCUGGCACCUUGACGGUACCUAACCAGAAAGCCACGGCUAACUACGUGCCAGCCGCCGCCGUGA